rnacentral:lncRNA from 1 species
AGAGAGAGGAAGCAGUUGGAAUGCACACACUCAGAGGUAACUAAUAGCAAAAAAUGAGUAGUCUCCUUCCGUUCACACCCACUUGACUGGUGUUGAUUCAAGAUUCAGCUGGAUGCUGGGUGGCAGAAGGAAGGGAAGGUAUUAGCUGUUGCCUGAGGACCAAGAGGGACCAUCUAAUGGCUCCAUGUGAAAUGAGAAGGCUUUCAGGUAUAAAGUCACAGAGCAAGAUGCCAAACAUCCCACCAUUUACCUAUCAUUUCAGGACCAUAUGUGCAAAAUUGCAGCAGUAACGUCUCAACUUUUAUUGGCCUCCUGCUCCCCAGGGCACCCUGCUUCUGCUAACUCGAUGCCUCAGAACUUUGGUGUCUGAGGCCCUCAGAUACCACUUUGCCGUCUACAAGCCUGAGGGUGGUGGUCUUCUGGAUGGUUUGCAUGGAGUUGCUGCUGUCCACGGCGUCACCAGGACUGAAGUCCUCCCCAUCUUCCAGCAGGCGGCGGUGUUCCCGGAUUUUACACUCCAGUUUCCUAUUAUCGGCCUCCAGGCUCUUCACCCUCUCCAGCAGUGGCCCAAGAUUUUCCCAGACCACAGAGAAAACCCAAACAUCUGUGAGCCAGCCAAGGACCCAUUUCCCAAGGUGGGUAGCAAAGAGACUUAUUAUGGGGCAGGGCUAAGACCCUGUUGGGUCCCGGGGUUCCUGGGAGUCGGGGUCUCUGCUCCUGAGAAGGGGCCUCCUUGGUGGUUCCCACCAGGCCCCUCCAGCCCCAUCGCACAGAGCACGAUGUUCACUGCAGGCUGCAUUGGAGAGCGGUGACCCAUCUGGCCUCCCUGGAGGGCCUGUCAGAGGGACGCGUCACCCUGGGCAACUGUUCUCAUCCCACAUGCUUCUAACCAGCUGCAGGGCCUUGGGCAGGUUACACACCCACUCUCUGCUCCUUGAGGACAACACACAUCACUCAGAAGGCGGUGAGGGGACUAGGAGAUAGAAGGCAUUGAAACACCAUAGUGCCUGCCACAUAAUCGUGCUCAACACAUUUUCCUUCCCUUGCCCUCAGUGGCCUGAAGAGGCCUGAAUCUGCUUUUGUAAAGCGGCUGAGCAAAUGCCCAGGAUGUCCGACCACAGGGCUGGCUCCCAGGAGUGGCUGAGUCCUAUUGCUGCUUCAUCUACGUAAGCUCAUGACUAUGUAUCACAAAGUGAGGCAGGUUCUACCUCCCAACCCAGUAACUCAGGGAGUGGGGGAGGAACAUCUCCAUAUUCGGGUAGGAGGACCUGGGGCAGCUCCUGUAGUGGCUCUGAGAUUCUCUGAAAUUCCAGAAUCUUCCAACCAGCUGCUCUCACGCUCAUGACAUUAAUUGAAAUGGAAGGCACAGAGGAGCGCGGGAGGGGUGAGGAUCAGCCAUGUGUUUUUAAAUUGUUUAAAAAUUUUCGAGUAUUUAAAAAUGCUUUUUGUCGUUU